AACGCGAAGAACCUUACCAGGGUUUGACAUCCUGCGAAUCCCUUGGAAACGAGGGAGUGCCUUCGGGAACGCAGUGACAGGUGGUGCAUGGCUGUCGUCAGCUCGUGUCGUGAGAUGUUGGGUUAAGUCCCGCAACGAGCGCAACCCACGUCUUUAGUUGCCAGCAUUCAGUUGGGCACUCUAGAGAGACCGCCGGUGAUAAACCGGAGGAAGGUGUGGAUGACGUCAAGUCAUCAUGCCCCUUACAUCCUGGGCUACACACGUACUACAAUGCUACGGACAAAGGGCAGCAAACUCGCGAGAGCUAGCAAAUCCCAUAAACCGUGGCUCAGUUCAGAUCGUAGGCUGCAACUCGCCUACGUGAAGGAGGAAUCGCUAGUAAUCGCAGGUCAGCAUACUGCGGUGAAUACGUUCCCGGGCCUUGUACACACCG
rnacentral:rRNA from 1 species